GACCAUCCUCCAAGGCUAAAUACUCCUGACUGACCGAUAGUGAACCAGUACCGUGAGGGAAAGGCGAAAAGAACCCCGGCGAGGGGAGUGAAAAAGAACCUGAAACCGUGUACGUACAAGCAGUGGGAGCACGCUUCGGCGUGUGACUGCGUACCUUUUGUAUAAUGGGUCAGCGACUUAUAUUCUGUAGCAAGGUUAACCGAAUAGGGGAGCCGAAGGGAAACCGAGUCUUAACUGGGCGUUAAGUUGCAGGGUAUAGACCCGAAACCCGGUGAUCUAGCCAUGGGCAGGUUGAAGGUUGGGUAACACUAACUGGAGGACCGAACCGACUAAUGUUGAAAAAUUAGCGGAUGACUUGUGGCUGGGGGUGAAAGGCCAAUCAAACCGGGAGAUAGCUGGUUCUCCCCGAAAGCUAUUUAGGUAGCGCCUCGUGAAUUCAUCUCCGGGGGUAGAGCACUGUUUCGGCAAGGGGGUCAUCCCGACUUACCAACCCGAUGCAAACUGCGAAUACCGGAGAAUGUUAUCACGGGAGACACACGGCGGGUGCUAACGUCCGUCGUGAAGAGGGAAACAACCCAGACCGCCAGCUAAGGUCCCAAAGUCAUGGUUAAGUGGGAAACGAUGUGGGAAGGCCCAGACAGCCAGGAUGUUGGCUUAGAAGCAGCCAUCAUUUAAAGAAAGCGUAAUAGCUCACUGGUCGAGUCGGCCUGCGCGGAAGAUGUAACGGGGCUAAACCAUGCACCGAAGCUGCGGCAGCGACACUAUGUGUUGUUGGGUAGGGGAGCGUUCUGUAAGCCUGUGAAGGUGUACUGUGAGGUAUGCUGGAGGUAUCAGAAGUGCGAAUGCUGACAUAAGUAACGAUAAAGCGGGUGAAAAGCCCGCUCGCCGGAAGACCAAGGGUUCCUGUCCAACGUUAACCGGGGCAGGGUGAGUCGACCCCUAAGGCGAGGCCGAAAGGCGUAGUCGAUGGGAAACAGGUUAAUAUUCCUGUACUUGGUGUUACUGCGAAGGGGGGACGGAGAAGGCUAUGUUGGCCGGGCGACGGUUGUCCCGGUUUAAGCGUGUAGGCUGGUUUUCCAGGCAAAUCCGGAAAAUCAAGGCUGAGGCGUGAUGACGAGGCACUACGGUGCUGAAGCAACAAAUGCCCUGCUUCCAGGAAAAGCCUCUAAGCAUCAGGUAACAUCAAAUCGUACCCCAAACCGACACAGGUGGUCAGGUAGAGAAUACCAAGGCGCUUGAGAGAACUCGGGUGAAGGAACUAGGCAAAAUGGUGCCGUAACUUCGGGAGAAGGCACGCUGAUAUGUAGGUGAAGUCCCUCGCGGAUGGAGCUGAAAUCAGUCGAAGAUACCAGCUGGCUGCAACUGUUUAUUAAAAACACAGCACUGUGCAAACACGAAAGUGGACGUAUACGGUGUGACGCCUGCCCGGUGCCGGAAGGUUAAUUGAUGGGGUUAGCGGUAGCGAAGCUCUUGAUCGAAGCCCCGGUAAACGGCGGCCGUAACUAUAACGGUCCUAAGGUAGCGAAAUUCCUUGUCGGGUAAGUUCCGACCUGCACGAAUGGCGUAAUGAUGGCCAGGCUGUCUCCACCCGAGACUCAGUGAAAUUGAACUCGCUGUGAAGAUGCAGUGUACCCGCGGCAAGACGGAAAGACCCCGUGAACCUUUACUAUAGCUUGACACUGAACAUUGAGCCUUGAUGUGUAGGAUAGGUGGGAGGCUUUGAAGUGUGGACGCCAGUCUGCAUGGAGCCGACCUUGAAAUACCACCCUUUAAUGUUUGAUGUUCUAACGUUGACCCGUGAUCCGGGUUGCGGACAGUGUCUGGUGGGUAGUUUGACUGGGGCGGUCUCCUCCUAAAG
rnacentral:rRNA from 1 species